ACGAACGCUGGCGGCAUGCCUAACACAUGCCAGUCGAACGAGACCUUCGGGUCUAGUGGCGCACGGGUGCGUAACGCGUGGGAAUCUGCCCUUGGGUUCGGAAUAACAGUUGGAAACGACUGCUAAUACCGGAUGAUGACGUAAGUCCAAAGAUUUAUCGCCCAGGGAUGUGCCCGCGUAGGAUUAGCUAGUUGGUGGGGUAAAGGCCUACCAAGGCGACGAUCCUUAGCUGGUCUGAGAGGAUGAUCAGCCACACUGGGACUGAGACACGGCCCAGACUCCUACGGGAGGCAGCAGUGGGGAAUAUUGGACAAUGGGCGAAAGCCUGAUCCAGCAAUGCCGCGUGAGUGAUGAAGGCCUUAGGGUUGUAAAGCUCUUUUACCCGGGAUGAUAAUGACAGUACCGGGAGAAUAAGCCCCGGCUAACUCCGUG
rnacentral:rRNA from 1 species